AGAGAAAAGAUAAGCAAAGAGAAAGAGAAAAGAUAAGCAUCUAGUUGCAUGGAAAUGAGAAUAACAUUUUCAGGCACUUCUGCAGGCAGUCUGAUGGGUAGGCCUGACAUCCCUAUUGACAUUUCUGAGUACACUAUGUAGGAGACUUCUGUAUCUUAUUUCUCUUCCUCCCCCAAUCAGCAACACACAACAAGUAUGGUGAUCCCAUAAGCUAAACUUGAAUAGGGAAAUUGCCAUUAAAAUUACUUAUUUUAAAAAAAAACUCAUCAAUUUUUUAAUAAUUAUAUCAAAGUUUCAUAUAGUUUCAUUUCAGGAGUCAGAUGAAACAAUAGAACUUUUUCUAACAUUUUUUUUCCCUAAAUUAUACACAUGGGCCUAGAUAUUAUGGAGAGAUCUGAGUUGUGGAAAGACAGCAAUUUACUCACAUUCUUUUAUUUUGUAGAUCACUUUUAUAUUAUCUAAAGAAGGUGGGUUUUAAAAAUAUUUAUUGAUGAUUUCUUUAAAACUCUAGGAGAAAUUAGCAUGACAAAGACAAAACACAUAUAGGGUCUCAGUUAAGUCAAAGUCAGCAAACUUCAAUGCCUGAACUCAUCACUGAGUUGUCAUGGCAACCAUUUCAUUUUUCUAUUGUGAGGAGACAAUUAGGUGCUAACCUGGGUGUUAGCUCAAGCUGUUUGAAAGAUAAGCUCCCAUCUUUACAAAAGAGUAUUUGGGAAUAGACACCGCAUCAGGCUUCCAGUCAGGAGAGCAAAGCACUGAGAUGCAGGUGAUUUCAAGCAUGAACAUAAUCACUUAUCUCAUGCUCCAGAAACUGAUUUGCAUUCACCUGGAGCGCUCACCUUACGUCUAUACAAAUAAAGAAUGCAAUUGUGUGUAGCCUUAAUAUCAUGUCUGCCUGGAGAUAUUAAAUGAGAAAACAAAACACAGUGAAACUGGGUCUUGUCCAAUACUCAUCUAGUUGCCUCCAUUAAUCAUACAUCAUUCUAUGACCAGAUGCCUAUCCCACACUAUUUGGUGUGUGAGUAUAUCUCUAUCUACCUAUCUGGCAUCUAUUCAAAGUUAGGAGAUCUAAGUAGAAUAGCAUAAAAAUUAUCUGCAGAGUAUGAGGCCAUCUAAUAAUGACACUUGCAAUUUCUGGCACCACUAUGUGACAGGGACUGUGUUACCUACUCUUUACACAUGAUUUCUUUUAAUAUUCAGAACAGUGAGGAAGUCUUUGUGGUAAUGGUAAAUGAGGUAGGAGUUUAUAUCAGACAUUCUAGUAACAAACAUCUUGGCAUUGAAUCUUGAUUUUAUCAUUUGCCUGAAGUAAAGUAACUUACCCAAAGUCACCACUAAUAAUCCAAGGCCAACAUUUGAAAAUAGUUUUAACAACAAAAAUAUUUUUCCUCCCUUGAAUCAUCAUUCUAAAGGAUGCAAACUCUUGCCCCUGCCCCACAGGGGGAAAAACAGUAUUUUUAUUUUCCAUUAUAUACUGGGUUCUUCCAUCAUCAUAUAUUAUUUCAUACUUAAGCAAAAACCCUCAGGGCACUGACCUUCAGGAUGGCUGAAAGAAUCCCAAUUGCAAACAUUCUGGCUCAUUCUCAGCUAUGUGACAUUUAUUUCACAAAUAUGUGAGCACUCUAAUUAGGAAGCAAUGGAUAUAGGUAGUGAAGACAGAAAACAUUGGUCUUAACUGCCAGGAACUUUCAUUUCAAUGUAAUAAUGUGAAUGUUUCAAACAUCUGUCAGAUAAUAAUGUACCCUUCCUCUUUACUGUGACAACAUUGGCUACAUUUUUCAUUUUUAUUACAUAGUCACUGAGAUUUCAUGAGAAUUGUGAAACGUCUCCGAUCCCACUGAUAGACUCCAUUAAAGCCUUUUUGUCCUAAUUCUCAACUGUCACCUGGGAACAUACAAAACUGGUUAUUUCUCAUAAAAUAGUCAAUGAGAGAUGAAAUAGGAGUUUGAAUAUACUUUCAAACAAAAUGGAAGCAAACUAAACGAGAUUUUUCCCCUAAAACAGGCUGUUGUUUUUCAGUGGAUUUCAUAAGAAGAAAAUCAUUUUAAAAUGUAUUAAGAUUGAAUGGAAAAAAACAGUGUAGAAAAUAAAUUAUUUCAUGUUAUAGCCAAUAAAUAAAUCAAUAACACUAACAUCCUUGAUGAGUGGUUAUUACAUGCUAGUAACAGUUCUGUGUAUUUAUAGAGACCAUUUUUUGAUCCCAACAAUGUUAUGAGAUAGCUAUUACUGUUAUCUCCAGUCUAGUAAUGAGGAAACAGAAGCACACAAAUAGAAAAAAAUGCUACUAACAGACUACAAAUAAUAGCUUUUCUUGAAACAGUGCUAAAUGCCAAGGAUACUGAUCAUACCUAAUACUUGCUUCAAGUGUAGAACUUCCUGAUUUACCAGAAUUUAAUAAGUGGAUACCCUGCAGCAGACAUCGUGUUUAUUUUCCAGUCAUUUCUUCUGAAACAUGACAUAGGUGUUGUUAAAAGAUCACCAUGCCAUUCAAAAGUUUCCCAGGAGAAAACACAGGACUUACAGGAAACCGGAUUAGAGACACAACACUGAGAAACAUCAUCAGUGACACUUAAAAUAAAAAAAAAAAAAAAAAAAAA